UUUCUCACUCGCUAUGAAUACCUAUGUUAUGCAUUUGAAUUGGUUGCUUUAAACACUUGGUUUCUUACAUUUUCUCUACACUUCUACACUUCUUCAGAUCAAACUUAGAGCAUUGCUCACACAUCUGCAACAACUCCGGUUGGCUAUUGGGGGGUUGCUAGUCGUCGUGAUUGUUACAAACUGCUGAUAUGUUGUCGCCUGACAUAAUUGCCGGCUAACCUUGUAUAGGAAGUAUUGUCAUAGAUAGAUAGAGAGAUAUGAGGGGAGGAUUACAAUCUCUUUGAUUGAGGAUAGUUUCCUGUUUUAGGAUGUUUCCUUUGGUGUAAUAGGUUUCCUUUAGCCUCUCACAUUCCUCCCCUAUAUGUAUGUAGCGGUAUUGUCUCUCAUCAAUAAAAAAUAUUCUUCCCAAAUCUUCUCUCAUGGUAUUAGACGCCUAGGCUAUGUUCCUGACAAUAUGUGAACUACCAAAUAUAUUCUAACACAUGACAGUCUACGAAACACAAUAUGUAAACUUCCAAAUAUACUCUAACAAUUAUGACAUAGAAUCUUCUGAGCAACAUGUGAACACAAAUAUUAGUCUUUCUACUAAAUCUCAUGUAAUAGCUGAGGAAACAGUAACAUGUUCUUUCCAUGUUUCCUUUAUUUUCUAUUUUUGCUUUUUUUGGGGCAUAUGUGCUUCUGUCUUUGUUCGGUACUUCUGGGCUGGUUUUGUAGUUGACGCUCUCUUAUUAAUAACGUGGAAUGCUCUACCACUUCUUCAAGAUAAUUUUUUAUUUGUCUUUACGCUUUAUUGUUUUACUGCCUGUAUCUGAAUAUACCAUACUAUCUAUUGUUAAUCUAAGUUCCAGGAAAUCAGAUGCAUAUCUAAAUAAGUCAUGCAUCUUGUUAGUCUGCUGUAGCCCAAUU
rnacentral:misc_RNA from 1 species